rnacentral:rRNA from 1 species
UAUUGCACAAUGGCGGAAACUCUGAUGCAGCGACGCCGCGUGAACGAUGAAGGCUUUNNNGUCGUNAGGUUCUGUCCCAGGGGNCGGNCAUGACGGUACCCUAGGAGGAAGCCCCGGCUAACUACGCCCCAGCCACCGCGGUAAUACGUAGGGGGCGAGCGUUGUCCGGAAUUAUUGGGCGUAAAGGGUUCGUAGGCGGUCUUUUAAGUCAGAUGUGAAAGGUCACGGCUCAGCCGUGGUAAGCAUUUGAAACUGAAAGACUUGAGUUAAGGAGAGGAAAGUGGAAUUCCUAGUGUAGCGGUGAAAUGCGUAGAUAUUAGGAGGAAUACCAGUGGCGAAGGCGACUUUCUGGACUUAUACUGACGCUGAGGAACGAAAGCGUGGGGAGCAAACAGG